rnacentral:misc_RNA from 1 species
CGUAGGUGAACCUGCGGAAGGAUCAUUAAAAAUGAAGCCGGGAAACCGGUCCUUCUAACCCUUGAUUAUCUUAAUUUGUUGCUUUGGUGGGCCGCGCAAGCACCGGCUUCGGCUGGAUCGUGCCCGCCAGAGGACACAACUCUGUAUCAAAUGUCGUCUGAGUACUAUAAAAUAGUUAAAACUUUCAACAACGGAUCUCUUGGUUCUG